CAGAUGUGUCUGCAGGGACGACCUCACCAACUCCUACCUUGGAUGCUGCACAAAAGCCCAGCUCCCAUCACAGGGGUCCUACGACAGGAGAGACCAAAGGCAUGGCAGGCAAGAAAUUCCAGGACCCAUUAGAAGUCAUGUGGCAAAUGCUGAAGGAAUGUCUGCAGAGAAGGCAAGAAAUGAAAGGAGAGCCUGUGCAGAAGGAAGCACUUCCAGGAGGAAGCAGUGGUUCUGUGCCAGCCUCUGCUGCAGGAAGGGAGGCCAUGCCAGGCACAGGCACAGGAG